rnacentral:tRNA from 1 species
AGCCCCGUGGUGAAAAAGUCACGUUGGAUUGCAAAUCCAGAGAUGCAGUAUAGUACCCUGCCGGGGCUU